ACCAAUCCUAGCCCUAACAACAAUAAACAUAACUAAAUAACAAGAUAAAUUAAAACAUUUAGUAAAUAAAAAGUAUUGGAGAAAGAACUUUACCUUUUAGGAGCUAUAGAGAAAGUACCGCAAGGGAAAGAUGAAAGACAAAGUCAAAGUAAAAAUAAGCAAAGAUAAAACCUUGUACCUUUUGCAUAAUGAAUUAACUAGAAAAAACUCAACCAAAAGAAUUUAAGCUGAGAACCCCGAAACCAAACGAGCUACCUAAAAACAAUUUCAUGAAUCAACCCGUCUAUGUAGCAGAAUAGUGGGAGGAUUUUUAGGUAGAGGUGAAAAGCCUAACGAGCUUGGUGAUAGCUGGUUACCCAAAAAAAGAACUUCAGUUCAACUUUAAGUUUACUAUACGAAUAGACUAAUCAAAAUGUAAAUUUAAAAUAUAGCCUAAAGAGGGACAGCUCUUCAGGAUAAAGGAAAAAACCUUAAAUAGUGAAUAAACAACUUUAAUUUACUAACCAUUGUAGGCCUAGAAGCAGCCACCAAUAAAGAAAGCGUUCAAGCUCAACAUUAAAAAAAUCUUAAUUCCAUAAAUAUUAAUAACUUCCUAUUCUACAAAUUGGGUCAAUCUAUUACUCUAUAGAUGAGAUACUGUUAAUAUGAGUAACAAGAAUAACAUUCUCCUGGCAUAAGUGUAUGACAACUCGGAUAACCAUUGUCAAUUACCGAAUCAUAGGCAUGAACCCACCAAUAAAGCCUGCCUAACACUAAUUCGUUAGCCCAACACAGGAAUGCCAUAAGGAAAGAUUAAAAGAAGUAAAAGGAACUCGGCAAACAUGAGCCUCGCCUGUUUACCAAAAACAUCACCUCUAGCAUAGCAAGUAUUAGAGGCACUGCCUGCCCAGUGACUUAAGUUAAACGGCCGCGGUAUCCUGACCGUGCAAAGGUAGCAUAAUCACUUGUUCCUUAAUUAGGGACUAGAAUGAACGGCUAAACGAGGGCUCGACUGUCUCUUACUUCCAAUCAGUGAAAUUGACCUUCCAGUGAAGAGGCUGGAAUAUUACAAUAAGACGAGAAGACCCUAUGGAGCUUUAAUUUACUAGUUUAAUUUAAACCUCAAAACGACCCAAUGGUCCUAAACAAUAAAAUAAUGAACUAAAAAAUUUCGGUUGGGGUGACCUCGGAGUAUAAAAAACCCUCCGAAUGAUUCUAACUUAGACUAACAAGUCAAAGUAACAUCAGUAUCUUAUUGACCCAAUUAUUGAUCAACGGACCAAGUUACCCUAGGGAUAACAGCGCAAUCCUAUUUAAGAGUCCAUAUCGACAAUAGGGUUUACGACCUCGAUGUUGGAUCAGGACAUCCCAAUGGUGCAGAAGCUAUUAAUGGUUCGUUUGUUCAACGAUUAAAGUCCUACGUGAUCUGAGUUCAGACCGGAGCAAUCCAGGUCGGUUUCUAUCUAUUUACAAUUUCUCCCAGUACGAAAGGACAAGAGAAAUGGAGCCACCUUAUUAAAAGUGCCCCUAACCCAACUUAUGAAAAAAAUCUUAACAAAGUAAAUAUGUACAACAAACAGACCUAGAUCAGGUCA
rnacentral:rRNA from 1 species